rnacentral:rRNA from 13 species
UUUACUUUGAAAAAAUUAGAGUGUUCAAAGCAGGCCUUUGCUCGAAUACAUUAGCAUGGAAUAAUAGAAUAGGACGUGUGGUUCUAUUUUGUUGGUUUCUAGGACCGCCGUAAUGAUUAAUAGGGACAGUCGGGGGCAUCAGUAUUCAAUUGUCAGAGGUGAAAUUCUUGGAUUUCUUGAAGACUAACUACUGCGAAAGCAUUUGCCAAGGAUGUUUUCAUUAAUCAAGAACGAAAGUUGGGGGCUCGAAGACGAUCAGAUACCGUCCUAGUCUCAACCAUAAACGAUGCCGACCAGGGAUUGGCGGAUG